GCGCGCGGCGCGCGGGCGGGACGCGGCGCUUCGCGCGUGCCGGGCGCGCCGGACGCGUCGGCCUGCGCGCGCC
rnacentral:tRNA from 1 species